UGUAACUGAGAUGUUUUAUGAUGAUGUUUAAAAUAUUUAUAUCAAUAUGGAGCAUCUCUACUCUGAAGAUCUAAAGUGCUCCAAAUCUGAAGCUUUCUGUGCAUGGUUAUGAUGCCACAAAGUGAUGCUUUCUGAUCGACAUCCACGUUUUGCUUCAUGCACAGAAUUAUUUAAAAUACUAUCUUAAGAUUAUGUUCAGGCUGUGUGUCGAAGGUGUGUAUGAGACAAAAUGGAUUUCAUGUUUAGACUUGGAUCUCUUCCCCAGGGUAUUAUGUUUGUGCAGCUAUUCCAGAUUGUGAAAAAAUAAAAAAAAAUCUGAAAGAUUUCUCCUCUCAAGGAUUUCAUAUGAGACACUAGGCCUGUGUUUCUUUUUAAAAUUGGUUUGAAGAAAAUAUAUUGAUGUUGCUCUUGAGUUCCUCAUCUGUAGUGUGAAGGGAUUGUGUAUGGUAUCUUAAGCUCCUUUUUGCUUUUCUGGUUCUUAGAUGUGAUUCUGUUACUCUGACAUUGUAUUCACAGAAAGUGCCUUGAGUCCUUAAGGAAAAGUAUAAGCUGGGUGCCAGUGGCUCAUGCUUGUAAUCCUGGCUGCUCAGGAGGAUCAUGGUGUGGAAGCAGCCUGGCUUCAAAUUGUGAGACUCUUCAAUUCACAGCCUCCCCCCAAAAACAAACAAGCAAAAAAGCAGGAACAGGAAGUAGAGCUAUGACUCAAGUGGUAGUGUCCUAGCUUUGAUAGAAAAAGGUCAAGGGAGAGAACCUAGGUCCUGAGUUCAAGCCCUAGGAGAGCAC